rnacentral:snRNA from 2 species
AGCUCUUCUUUGCCUUUGGCUUAGAUCAAGUGUAGUAUCUGUUCUUUUCAGUUUAAUCUCUGAAGAAGAUACCUAAUGGUAUCAAUCUGGAUUAUUCCUAUUUUUGAUCGCCGAGGUCGUGCCUCUGCGGCUUGCCGCAUGCCGACUUCAUCGUGUCCCUGGUAUUUCACUGCCUCCAGGUGACGCAAACCGUG